rnacentral:misc_RNA from 1 species
UCGUAACAAGGUUUCCGUAGGUGAACCUGCGGAAGGAUCAUUACUGAUUUGCUUAAUUGCACCACAUGUGUUUUUCUUUGAAACAAACUUGCUUUGGCGGUGGGCCCAGCCUGCCGCCAGAGGUCUAAACUUACAACCAAUUUUUUAUCAACUUGUCACACCAGAUUAUUACUUAAUAGUCAAAACUUUCAACAACGGAUCUCUUGGUUCUCGCAUCGAUGAAGAACGCAGCGAAAUGCGAUACGUAAUAUGAAUUGCAGAUAUUCGUGAAUCAUCGAAUCUUUGAACGCACAUUGCGCCCUCUGGUAUUCCGGAGGGCAUGCCUGUUUGAGCGUCGUUUCUCCCUCAAACCGCUGGGUUUGGUGUUGAGCAAUACGACUUGGGUUUGCUUGAAAGACGGUAGUGGUAAGGCGGGAUCGCUUUGACAAUGGCUUAGGUCUAACCAAAAACAUUGCUUGCGGCGGUAACGUCCACCACGUAUAUCUUCAAACUUUGACCUCAAAUCAGGUAGGACUACCCGCUGAACUUAAGCAUAUCAAUAA